UACAUAUAUAUAUAUAUAUAUGUAUAUAUAUAUAAAAACAUAUAAAAUGUAUAAUCUAUUAUACAUAACACAAGGAAACACUCCGUAUUAGUACACAAAAACGCAUACAUACAUGGAAACACACGAACGUACGUUUAAGAUGCGACUCGUACGCGUUUACCAUACGCGAUUAAUGUGUAUUGUUGUAACACACAUGUAUUAAGGGUGCCCGUAUCGAAGGUGGGAGUGUGGGAGGGGCGAUCGAUUGAUAAUAAGGAUAACAAUAACAAAUGUACAUAAGAAGAAGUGAAAUUCGAUCGUGCGAGCCGUGGUAACCGCACGAAAUAGAAUAUUUUGUUAUGUAAAAAAAACAAUGGAAGAUGGAAGAUGGUGAGAUGAAGAAAUAGGAGUUCGAUUUUCGGAGAGGAGGAGGAGGGGGGCGAUGGUGCACCAUUUUCAAAUGCAUCGGAUGCCUUGCCGACAUGUUUGCGAAACGAGGAUGCUAUAUUUGGACCUCGACGAACGAGAAGAGACAAGGUCGUGGAAGAGAAAAAGAUAGGGAAGGUGGCAUAUGGAUAGGAAGAAUGGCGGAGGAGAUUACGCCGUCGUUACGCGCAAAGAACGAGAUUCAUCUUAUAUAUAUUCAUAUAUCAUUUCGUAGCUCAUCCUCCAUCUUGGUCAUGUCCGCCAUUAAAUAUAAAACCCGUAACGAGCAUCGAGAGAAUAUAUAUGUAUGUAUACAUAUAUAUAUACAUUCCGGUUGAACUGUCGAUCUCAUUGAUCGCGACACGAUCAUAUUUUUACCGAGGAGAAGAGAGGACGAAGAAGAAGAUGAUAAGGAGGAGAAGCAGGAGAGAGAGAGAAAGUGAGAAAGAAAGAGUGUCGACGGGACGCAACUUCUGUCGGAUACUUUUUCUACGGCGAGCUAAAAAAGAAAACGAAAAAAAAAGAAACAGGAGCAAAAAUGGAGGACCAAGAAGACUGAAAGGGGGAACGAGACGAAGAGGAUAACGGGAAGGCUUAACGAUGGCGCGAUCGACUAGAGGGAUCUGUUGUGGAUCAUCGAUUGGCCACCUUUCGACGCGCAUCCCGUUGUUUUCUCGACGAAACAAGCGUCUCGUGUUUGCGCGUCCGACGUGUGACGGUUUGCUCGAUGAAGAGUAUAUUAGAAGCGGAAGAAGAGAAAGGAAGAGAGAAGACGACGAGCGAAGGAGAGAGGUGUUUAAUAAGAAGUAAAAAUGAAGAUACUCGGUACGUUCGAGGGGGAUACACAUAAUCGUCCACUAUACGAGGCUCGAUAGAGGAAUACAGUUAUUUUUUGCCGUUUUAUCUCUUAUCGUAAGAGGAAACCGAAGUUUCUGUCCGCGGAAAACCAGUUACGGCGUACCGAUUUAAACGAGAACGGCGACGAUCGAUAGAUCCUACGGGCACGAUAGGAGAAUGGAGAGCCAGUUUAAAGCGUAGUCGGUGUACCUAAACCGUGAUCGUUUAUAUCGUAAUUUUGGUACUGUUCGAUAUGUACACGCGUGUGUUAGGAGAGGACAGAGUUUAGAAUUGCAGCACUGACGAACGAAGGAGUCGGAUACAGAAGAAAAAACAUGUCUUUCAAGGGAGGAUCGUCGAUUCGAUGGGUGGGACGGGGUGAAUGAAGAAGGACUCGAGGGGACAGCAAGCUGUCCAAAGAAGCUCGAUCGUUCGAUGGUCGGGUUCGAGAUGGAGUCCGGGAGCGCAAGAUCGAAGCGAGUGUGAGAAGAUUUCUAAAAAAAACAAAAAACGAUGAGAAAAAAAUGUCUUUUUGAGAACAAAAAGCGCCAAAAAAAUCUGUAUAAAAUCAGUUGAGAGAAUGCUUGGGUAUAUUUGUGCGAUGAAGGAUGAUUGAGCAUGUGGGACGGUUGGAGGAGGAAGAAGAGAGCGAAGAGGAGAAGAAAGACGUAGAAGAAUCAGUGUGCAAUAGUUGCGUGAAGGGCUGAAACUUUCAGUCGCGGAAGAGGAAAGAGCAAUGGAUCUCUGGAUACUCUUUGAUCUGGAGACGAAAGCAUGUUAAACAUAGUGCGAGGAUCUUUUUUAAGCAGGCUCGGACCAGAGUUUCCGAGCACGUAUAUAUUUCUCAGAAUCGACGUAUUCGAAGGGAGAAAGCAUUUUGAGGUACAGGCGUCAUCACAAGUUCAUACACAUGCACACAUGAGAACACACGCACGGAUACAGAGGACACGUCUGCCAGCAUACACGUAUGUAGAUAACGCAAAACAGAUGAGAAGAGGCGAAAGAAUGAUCGUAUCGAGAUUGUCUUUGAGAAGGAGUGAAAGAAAACACACGCGUUCACGUGAGUCACGCGAGCAAAAUUCAAAAAUGAACACUAGACGCACAUAUCUGCCGCCACCUGUACAUCACGUUCCAUAGAAGAAGUGCGGGAACCUUCGGAAUAUCAAACGAAGCAAGGAGAAAGUUCUCUGUCCUUGUAACGGAACGACUGGGAAGUGUACAGCGUGGAGGCACCGUUACACCAUAGGUAACACGACACCGAACAUUAUGAAGUUUUCUUUGAUGGUUCACUUUCUUGAACAACGUGAAAGAAGAAGGAACGAAGAGAAAAUUUUUAACGUUCCCCGACAUUGUAGAUGAACCUUCUACUUUACCUAGUUUCACUACUACUCCCAUCCACAUUUAUCUUUCCUUACCCACUGUGUUCGUUUAAUGAAAAUGGCGAGAAAGCUGCGAAAUCGUUACGAAGUUGCUUCGGCUCUUCGUACCCUCAACUCUACUCUACAAGAAUCACCUUUAGUUCCUGUUAUAUCUCGAUACUCAACUAAGCAUUUUUUCCUGUACACAUUUUCCUCUUACUAUCCCCUUUUUUCUUUAGGGCCCCCACCAGGGCCCGCAAAUGAUUCAGCCACGCAGAUGCAACGUCUUGAAUUCAAUGCGAUAUUCAGGAAAACUGCCCUUUUCAGGGCAACCAUCAAUGUGUCCUUUUCGACGCAACGAUAGAUCCGACCUUUUCAGGGCAAUAUAAUCGAAUUGCACCUUAUGUCUGGAACCUUUCGAAGCUGCCUGUUCGAGAACUUUGAGAUAUCUGGAGCUAUCGUGGGACCUGCCCUAGACUAAAGUAGCAAACUUAGUUGCUAAUUGCUUCGUCUGGGACUAGGAAGGAAAAGUGGAGCAUCGAAGGAGAUAGUCCUUUCCAGGACCAGUAUUCUAGUCAACCAAAUAUGCUGUGAUGUUUUGUUUGAAAGCAACGUUACUUAGUCAUCGUGAGACCUUGGCCGAUGUCUUGUCAAGAUCGUCGUAUAGUACAGUCAUCACUCUUGGAUGAAUUUAAAAUGGCGGUGAAAAAUGUGCCUGUUCAUCAGGAUGUUCCAUAUUUCAUUUUGUUUACUUAAACGCCGAAAGAAAUUUAUUAAUUAUUUCGAUUCAAUUCCUGAAUAAAUUUCACUCUAAAUGGUAGAGAUUUAUCGAAUAUUGUUGGUAACGAUAAUCGGGCAUGAUUAUAUUUUGAUGCAAUUUAUUAAAUUCGGUAUAUUAGAAAUUAAGUUGUAUUGUUUGACUACGCAUUAAACUACACAAUUACUCAGUCCAUAUGUACGCAUAGUGACUUGAAGUAUAUCGUACGUAUUAUACAUACUUUAUCGAAAGUAAUGGAUCUAGAACGUCCUUUUCUUUAAUCUUAUGACAUACGUAAAGGUGAUAUGAAAGUAUGAGUCAUCGAGACAAUUAAAUGUCACAACGCAAAACAGAUAAAAUGUGUGUGACGAAUGUAAUUGUUCUCAGGUGAAAUCCAUCAGUCAUUUAUUAGAGUAAUGGUUAUAUUUAGAACAAAAUCUAAUGAAUAUAUUUUUAUACCGAGAAGGAAUAAUAAUAAUAAUAAUAAUAUUUAUUUGAACAACUGGAGCAAAUCCUUAUGUUGCAAUAGUAUGACAAUAAAUCGCACAAGUAGCAAAUUAAAAGAAAUAAGGAAAAGAGAAUGAUACAAUAAAAGAAAAGAUACAAUAGAUAGAUAUGAUAUCAAAAAUGCAAAAGAAGGAGAAAAUCGAAUUGCGAUGAUAACAGAUUUUAAAAGAGGCAUACGAGCAACAAAAAAAGUCUAGUACGAUAGUGUCUCUCUUCUCGGCGUAACUUGAGUAUGCCAAUUCUGACGCCGAGAUAUUGCAACGGCCUUGUAAUUUAUUGAUUUUCUUGCGGCCCUUUAAUUUAUCACCGGCUACCGGCUAAUUUAACUACCUUCUUCCAGGUAGUUUCUGACCCGAGUUUCGUUCUCUCUCUCUCUCUCUCUCUCUCUCUCUCUCUCUCUCUCUCUCUCUCACGAGGUAUCGGCAACAAUAAAGGCGAGCUGCGAGGCUCGAAGAAAUCAAUUCCUGAGUACUACUCUUGACACCAUAGAAUUCGGUCCCAACGAUAAGUAGAGAAAUUUUACUGUAUAUGGCAAUUCUGGUUGGAAAUUAAGAGAAGUCGAUUGAGGUAGUUAUGGUAGCCAUAAAGCGUACGGUGAGUUUUAGGGAGAAAGAAAAGGAUGUCUAGCUUGUUGGUAAUUAUGCUCUUAAAUAUUUUUUGCAUUGUAUUCUAGAGGCAGAUGGGUCGGUAUAAGGUGGCGAGUGUAUUAUCAUCACCUUUGAAGAUGGGAGAAACAGUACAAGUUUUCUAUUGAGAGGGAAAGGAGAGUUUUUGAAGAGGAUAAAAAGAGGAGGAAUCCCAUCAAUGGAUUUUGCUAGCACACAACUGUUUGAUCUCAGAGAAAACGUCACUAAUCGAAAUUUCUAUGUUGUUGGAAGAUGUAGACGAGCCAAUGUUUGUUUCCCCGUCGGGAAAUAUGGUGGUUGAGAUGUGCGUAGGUGAUCCAGAUAUCUAAUUUCCCGGAAUUGUUGUAUAACCAGUCUCAAAAGGGUUCGAGAAAGACCGACUGUUUUCCUUAAUGAAAGACUCUUUGUAUUCGCAUAUGAUUAGACGGAAGAAAACAUACGAAAAGUUUCCGUAUAUAACGGUAUUAUUAAAGUGAAAAGAGGGAGGAGUGUCAGAAGAGGAGGAAUAAAUUAAGCCGACGAAAUCUGUGAAAGUAUUCGCAAUAAUCUGGUCGGUGAAAGAUAUAUUAUUAUUAAAGGAUAUAUAGGAUAGAUGAGAAGCUUUUGGAAGUGGCGUAAAACUUUCCAAAAAAUCUUAGGUCCAGUUCUGAGAGCAAGUUCAGUUCUGGAUGAGUAAGUCAGCCAGCAUUUCCAUGAGAUGGGUUUGCAUUGAGCCCUAAGAUGUGAGAAAGUUAUGUAAUUGUAGUAGGAGUUUGUAAUUUUGUAACGAUAAUCUUUUUUUGUUUAAUAAAGAAAGUUAACUUACGAUAAUACGAGACAGGGUAAUUUGACGUAGAGAAGGCUCGUAGGGGUACAAAGCGGUUAGUCAUGACAUUUAAGUGAGAGUAGAAUACUGUUUAUUUAAAGGAGGGAGUAGGCUGUCCCAAUCUAUGGAUAUUCCUUUAUAGAAAGAAAAUCAGUUGCUGAGAAAUUACGGUAAUGGGUUGCAUUGGGAGGAGGGGUGAUGAGCUCUCUUUAUCUAGAACUGUGAGGGCAGGACCACUUAACUGUGAAGCAUCAACUACAAUAAUGAAAUCUACUCCUGCGCACUUUUCUUACUCCCUAAGCUGGAGCGCACAUCCCCUCCAAUCCGUAGUGGAUCCUAUCUCAACUGUGAAUCAUCGGUCAAUCAGAACAAAGGAAAUUAUGGAACCAAAAAUAGACACCAUGAAUAUUUUUGUAUAAAAGUGUCAUAUAUUUAACAAAUAUAUAUUUGUGUGACACUUAUAAAAAAGCAGGAUUUCUACGUUUCCUUGCGUAUCGCCAAUGGCCACCAAAUCUCUGGAAAAGAUAAAAGAUAAUAUUUACAAAUCAUGAAUCACAUGUUUACAAUCAACAUACUUUUUAGAGUUCACACGCAAGCAACUUGUAUUAUCCCUGUCGGAUGUUUCAAACUUUAUAGCAGUUACAGGUGUACCAUCAGCAAUAUUAUAUAAUCUCACAUUCGAACCCGCGCCAUAAGUUGCUAAUACAUCUGGAUUUCCCAACAUCCAAGUUAAUCCCACGAUUGUAUUUUGAAAGGAAAUCGAUCGCAGGCACGUGUGCUACAUAAUGCAAAAUAAUUUAUAACAAAUAAAGUAAUACAUAAAUACA